GAGGGUUUGGUGGGCCUAUAUCUUAUUUUGGGGCUUGUAACAGUUUGACUGUUCAGUUUUCUCCGUAAAUGCAUACCAUUUGUAAAAGUCGACACCACGGGUUGUUUAAUUUAUUAUACUCUACCUGGCCCAAAAAGAAGUCGCCACCAAAAAAAAAGGUCACACACUCUAAUAUUUUGUUGGACCUCCUUUAGCUUUGAUUACGGCAUGCAUUCGCUGUGGCAUUGUUUUGAUAAGCUUAUGCAAUGUCACACGAUUUAUUUCUGUCCAGUGUUGCAUUAACUUUUCACCAGUAUCUUGUAUUGAUGAUGGGAGAGUCCGACCACUGCGCAAAGCCUUCUCCAGCACAUCCCACAGAUUCUCAAUGGGGUUAAGGUCUGGACUCAGUGGUGGCCAAUCCAUGUGUGAAAAUGAUGUCUCAUGCUCCCUGAACCACUCUUUCACAAUGUGAGCCCAAUGAAUCAUUGAUGGAAUAACCUGGUCAUGCAGUAUAUUUAGGUAGUCAGCUGACCUCAUUCAUUGGGCACAUAAUGUUGCUGAACCUAGACCUGACCAACUGCAGAAACCCCAGAUCAUAGCACUGCCCCUGCAGGCUUGUACAGUAGGCACUAGGCAUGAUGUGUGCAUCACUUCAUCUGCCUCUCUUCUUACCCUGAUGCACAUAUCACAGGGUAAAUCGGGACUCAUCAGACCACAUGACCUUUCAUUGCUCCAGAGUCCAAUCUGUAUGUUCCCAAGCAAAUUGAAGCAUUUUUUUCCUAUUAGCCUCACUGAUAAGUGGUUUUCUUAAGGCUACACAGCUGUUCAGUCCCAGUCCCUUGAGUUCCCUUCACAUUGUGCGUGUGGAAAUGUUCUUACUUUCACUAUUAAACAUAGCCCUGAGUUCUACUGUUGUUUUUCUACGAUUUGAUUUCACCAAACGUUUAAUCGAUCGCUUAUCCAGAUCAAUCAGGAUUUUUUUCCGACCACAUUUCUUCCUCGAAGACGAUGGUUCCCCACUAUCCUUCCAGCUUUUAAUAAUGCAUUGGACAGUUCUUAACCCAAUUCUAGUAGUUUCUGCAAUCUCCUUAGAUGUUUUUCUCUGCUUGAUGCAUGCCAAUGAUUUGACCCUUCGCAAACAAACUAACAUCUUUUCCAUGGCCACGGGAUGUGUCUUUCGACAUGGUUGUUUAAGAAAUGAGGAGCUACUCAUUUCAUCAGUUGGGGUUAAAUAAUUUGUUUCCAGCUGAAAGAUAAUCGCCCAUGCAGUAACUAUCCUAUAGGAGUCUCUUACCUAUUUGCUUAGUUAAAUCCAGG